UGGGGAAUCUUGGACAAUGGGCGAAAGCCUGAUCCAGCCAUGCCGCGUGAGUGACGAAGGUCUUCGGAUUGUAAAGCUCUUUUGGCGGGGACGAUAAUGACGGUACCCGCAGAAUAAGCCCCGGCUAACUUCGUGCCAGCAGCCGCGGUAAUACGAAGGGGGCUAGCGUUGUUCGGAAUUACUGGGCGUAAAGCGCACGUAGGCGGACUGAUAAGUCAGGGGUGAAAUCCCGGGGCUCAACCUCGGAACUGCCUUUGAUACUGUUAGUCUCGAGUCCGGAAGAGGUGAGUGGAAUUCCUAGUGUAGAGGUGAAAUUCGUAGAUAUUAGGAAGAACACCAGUGGCGAAGGCGGCUCACUGGUCCGGUACUGACGCUGAGGUGCGAAAGCGUGGGGAGCAAACGGGAUUACAUACCCAUGUAGUCCCUGAGCGGGCUGGCAAGGCGCAU
rnacentral:rRNA from 1 species